ACGAGUCUCUCUUCUUUCCCUCUGUCUACCGCGCGCGCCCGCCGCCACCCCGCGCCCACCCCACCGUGCGCCGGCUCGCGCGCCGCCACCCAGCGCGGCCCGCCCUCGCCACCCUGCGGCCCUGCCGCCGCCCCACCGCACGCGCUCCGCCGCCCCACCAUUAAGGCAGGUGAUGCGGCCGACAAGGGGGCGGCGCUCGGGAACUCACAGAGUCAUGUCGUGCUGGGGAGGCACGGGAUUCGGAUCCGGCCGUGGCCGCACCUGGACCCCGUCGAGGUGAUGCGGGCGCACCAGAUCAUAGAGCACGUGCAGGAGGAACAGCACCGCUGGUACGACGUCAAGGAGCCGAGGCAGGUGCUCGCCGUCACCCCGACCAACUCACGCGCGUUCCAGGCGCUCCACCUCACCGGCCUCCUCCACUCACUCCGUCGGAAUCCUUGCGCAUACUGGCACGACAGACCAACUACGGCUCAGCGAGGAGGACAAGCAGAAUAUGCCUCUUCCAGUCCAUGGCCCUGCUUGCAACUCCUCAGGGCAUCUGAUUGGAUGGCACACGUUCAACUCAUUGCCCUUCUCUGGGAAGACGGCCACAGUUGUUGGUGAAGCUGCCCCUGUUCUGCCCAGGGAUUUGGAGUGGGCUGGUUUUGUGUUGAACUCGAGGAUGUUGUGGAAGGAGGCUGACGACAAGCCUGACUGGGUGAAGGAUCUUGAUGCUGUGGGCGAGAAUGGCGAGGAGAUUGAGAACCCACUUACUCUGUUGAAUGAUCCGUCCUCUGUUGAGCCACUGGGCAACUGUGGGAAGAAUGUCCUACUGUGGUGGCUUCGUGUUGAAGCACGGGCUGAUAGCAAGUUUCCUGAAGGAAAGUGUCCUUAGAGAAUGGAUUAAUUUUGGUUGACACAAAGUAUGAGUUUGGAAAAACAUCUGAUGGGACAAUUGUGUUGAUUGAUGAGGUUAUACUUCUGACGUUAUUCUGCAAAAGCUUUUUAAUCUUGUGCUCAUUCUACCUAGUAACUAGCGGAAGAAUAUAAAUAUGCAUUCUGACAUCAUAAGUUCAUAACAGUGAAAAUGCAUUAUGUAGAAUCAUAUAGUACUAACUAGUUAUUAUAUGCUUAGAUGUAGGCAGAGUUGUUAUAUCAUUAACUGAUACUUCAUGUAGUUGAAAACUUUUUGUUCUGAGUAUUAUCUAUUUUUUUAUAAUUAUGUUGAGUACAAUUGAAUGGUAACUUUUGAGAUAUUGAAAUGCUGAAUAGUUAGGUUUAUAAAAUUAAUGUUAUCUGCUAGAAUAUGCCUUUUCUGUGGUGUGGGCAGUGGGCUUGGCCAUUCCUGUGUGUCUAAGGCCCAGCCUAAGGUGCUGCGCCACCUGUUCUCAUCCCUGUGUACGCCUGCCUAUAUAUGUGUACUAUUCCCGCAAUCAAUAAUACACACAAUCAUAUGGCAGUAUAUCUCCUAUCAUUAUCCUCUUUUUAUGAAGCAGGUUCAUACUCCUGACUCCAACAGAUAUUGGAUUGCUAAUUCAUACGAAUAUAGAUUCAUAUCUGGCCUUGAACCUGAAAAUGUUGAUAAGGAGUUUUUAAGGCUUUGGUUCAAGAACAACUGCAAUCCAUAUGAAGACACAGUAUAUUUUCUUCAUACAGUUGUUAGAAUCACUUGUGAAUUUUGUUCCAUAAUGAUCCAACUCAUCUUUUUUUAGUGAAAACUUACGUGUACCCCAAAAUAUUCAGGUUCUGCCAGAAGCUCUAGAAGAGUUGGUAUGUUAGUUGGCCUAGCAGUAUGUAUCUCUAUAAGUUUCUGCCGUUGUUUCUCACUUCAAAGUUGAUACUCAUGAGGCCUUAUCGUCUGAAAGAAGAAAUGGUCAUCCAAAGAUCAUCCACCGUGACAUUAAGGCAUCUAACAUUCUUCUUGACUUCAAAUUUGAAGCUAAUGUCGCUGACUUUGGACUUGCAAAGUUCACUACUGAUAAUAACACCCAUGUUUCGACAAGAGUAAUGGGCACCUUUGGCUCUAGGUAUUUGGCACCUGAGUAUGCAGCAUCUGGCAAGCUCACAGAAAAUCCGAUGUAUUUUCUUUCGGAGUCAUGCUUCUUGAGCUUAUUACUGGGCGGCGACCAAUUGUCACAACCCAAUUGGCACUGCUUGCUAUAAGCACAUAUGUACUUCCAUUUGCAUGUUGUAUAAUACUAAUACCAAUUGCAAAAUUAUAGUUAUUUUUUCUACCCUUGUUAGUUAAUAAGCAUAUUUCUGGUCAAUAGGUUGUAUUCUUAUUCUUGUAACCGUGUUAAUUAAUGUUAUAUACUUGUAGUCUCGUAUUACCUUGUGAAUAUAUCUGUCCCUGCCUGCCA